AUCAUUAUACAAAGCUUGCAAUAUUGCAAUUUCAUAUCAAGUCUAUUCCAUGUGCCAGCUUUUCAUUUGUUGACUUUUGUUCCUUGUAGUAUUCAAGGUGCCUCUUCUCCUUUCUGUUGGUAUGGUCCCUCCUCAAUGGGACCCACCAUGGAAAUCAAGAGGUGGUGAGAAAGGUGACUCAUGCAGGGAAUGCCUAUGAUGUGCGGAAACCUCCUGUUAUGUAGAAAAAAGAGUCCGUGAUGGACUCUAGCCUUUGGCUUAUAAAGGGAGGCCCGUGGACAUGGCAGGAGAAUGCUGAGAAAAGAGGAAAAAAAAAGCCAUGAGAAGAUUAUGAGCCGCCAAAAGAGAGAGGGAGAGAGAAGAAGAGAGGCUUGAAGAGGAUGCUUCAUUCAUGAAAAGAAGAUAGGAGAAUGUCGAUUGGAGGAGUUCACUCAAUCUUGGAUUAGAGUUAUUCUAUCAAGAAGAGUUCUUUUGUAAGUUUAUUUAAUCUUUAGAUUUCUUCUUUCUUGUAUCAAAAGUGGUGUUUCUAACAUGGAGUCAGAGAAGUUUUUUUUAUACUCUAAACUAUUAUUAUAGUGGAAGCUCCUUCUUACUUUGAUCCCUGUGUGAAUGUAGGUUUCGAUCAAAUCAUGCGAAAAAAAUUUUGGUG
rnacentral:lncRNA from 1 species